rnacentral:pre_miRNA from 15 species
CCCGGUGCUGGGACCCCGAGGUAGCCGCAGUCCCUGUCCUCCAGGAGCUCACGUAACCAGCUGUGAGCUCCCCGAGGGCAGGGCCCGCGUCUGCUUCCGAGCUGCGCCGAGCCCGG